UUAAUAAAAUCUUACACAUACCUACUUGUUAUUUUUAUAUAUUCUUUAUAAAUAAAAUCAUCGAUAUAUUCGUUUUGAACAUCAAUUAGAAUAGAUAUCCCCAAAUCUGAUCGAUGUAUGGCCCAAUUUUAUUCCGCACCUCUUCGUCCGAUGCAUAGGUUGUACCCUUAAGACAUAACAAUUGAAAUAAAAAUGGGAUACAAAAAGAAAAAGUAUCAUAAAAAUGAUGAAAAUAAUCUAUUAAGAUCACUGAAAUCUAUGAAAAGAGAAUUGAGUGAUCAAGAAGAACAACUUAAACGUCUUUUAUUAAGAUAAACGUCUUAAUGCAAAAAGUAGAAAAUACUCGUCAACGGAGUCAUCAGAGAGUGAUAAGUCCUCAGAUGAAAAAUUGCCCAUAAAAGGACACUUUAAUUUCUCAUGAGCAAAUAUUAAAAAAUUUACCCAAACCCAGUCAAAAAAUAGCUAAAAAGCCAGUGGAAAAGUCAGCUGGCUUACAAAGGACAACGAACAAAUAAACACCAGCAGUAGCUGCAGAUCCUUAAAUUAAAGAUCAGCAGUUAACUACAAAUGGAGCUGAAAAUUCAAGUGACAAAAAAACUCCGGAGAAAACAGAUGAAGAAACGGUGCCAAAUAAAUCAGAAGCAAUUGGAAAGCAGUUGGAUGGUGACAAGGAAAGAACAUCAGCGGUUCAUAGUGACAUGCUUACGUUGGAAAGACGUUCUUAAAGAAGGACAUCCAAUAGAGGAACGCGAAUGAUUUUUUAGAAAGUAUCCAACUCCUGAAAAAUGUUUAACGUUAGAACUUCAGUAUAUGAAUGCUCAAAUAAAAUCGUCACUUUUAGAGCCAAUCAUAAAUAAAGAUAAAAGGCUUGUAAAAAAACAGCAAAAUGUCCGUUCUUGCUUAUUUGCCUUGGAACACUUAAUUGCAUAAUUUUUUUAAAAGGGAAUAUUUAUUUCCGAGUUAUUGUCUGGAAAUAUUUACAGAUGCGUCACUAAUGAGAUGUAAAGCCCAUUGUGAUGGGCAAACCACAAAUGGUUUUUGGAGUAAAGUCGAUAAGGAGUCUCCAAUUAAUCAUCUUUAAUUCUUUAGAGCUUUCUUUAAAUUAAAAUGUUUUGCAAAUAAUAGACGAAACUGUGAUAUUCUCUUACGGAUUGAUAAUACAACACCGAUUGUCUGUAUUAAUCGUAUGGGAGAUUCUCAAUUUAAAAGACUAAGCAAUAGGGCAAAAGUAAUCUGGAAAUGAUGUGGGGAAAGAAAUAUCUGGAUAUUAUCCUCGUAUGUUCAAUUUAGAGAAAAUAAGAUUGCAGAUCUUGUAUCUAGGAGACUAAAGUCAGAGACAAAAUACGAGUUAAGUAAGGAAGCAUUUAAUAAAAUCUGUAAUAAAUUUGCUAACCCGGAAGUAGACUUGUUCGAAUAAACACAUAGUGCAAUAAAUAUAUUUCAUGGAAGAAAAAUCCGGAUGCGAUGACAGCUGUCGCAUUCACUGUCAAUUGGAGCUUAUGGUUUUUGCUUUUUGUUUUCAUCUCAAGAAUCUUGAG